rnacentral:rRNA from 1 species
GGGGGGGGGGGGGGGGGGGCCGGGUGGGGGCGGGGCGGGCGGUCGGGCGGGGAGCUUGCUCCUCUGACGUUCGCGGCGGCCGGGGGCGUAACACGUGGCUAACCUACCUCUAAGACUGGGAUUACUUCGUGAAACCGGAACUUAUACCGGAUACUCUUUUGAACCACAUUGUUCCAUACUGUACUAAGGUCUUUCUGCUACUUAUCGCUGGAUUCUCGCUGCAUUAGCUAGUUGGUACGCUAACGGCGUACCAAGGCGACGAUGCGUCGCCGACCUGAGAGGGUGAUCGGUCACACUGGAACUGAAACACGGCCCAGACUACUACGGGAGGAAGCAGUAGGGAAUCUUCCGCAAUGGGCGAAAGCCUGACGGAGCAACGCCGCGUGAGGGAUGAAAGACUUCGGAUCGUAAAACUUUGUUAUUAGGGAAGAACAGAUGUGUAAGUAACUAUGCACAUAUUGACGGUACCUAAUCAGAAAGCCAAGGCGAGCUACGUG